UUGUAUUCCUGAUCAAUAUUCUGAAGCAAAAGUUUACAGGCUCUUACUUCAUCCAUUGAAUUGGCUGUGAACAGCACAAAGGAGCUAUGUAGUCAAGGGCGGUGCUGACCAAAAACAGAGCUCUUCCUAUUUAGACUUGAAUCUGAUUGAGAAAGGUGGAAGAUCUGGAGCAGUGAGUAAAUUAUGGUUCUUUGUUGGAAGACUCAAUGUUGGUGGACUAUGCUGGAAUAAAUAGAUUUGCAGGCUGAAUUACAAUCCUUCUCAGACUUACAGGUAGAUAUUGUUUGACUAACGGCCUUUGGACAGACUUCCUCAGUUUUGUGAUGGACUGGCAUUGGCGAUGAAGUUAGUCUUUAACAAUAGAGCGGUGACAGAAGCAAGAGAUCUGGCCAUGGCGAUUCCCAAGGUUGAAGAGUGAAGAAGUAUCACGAUCAAUCGGGGCUAAGCAACCAAGGAAUGGAGGACUAACACAGUGAUGGUAAUGCUGCCUCUUGUUCAUCUGUUUAUAGAUCAGCGAUUAGUGCAAGCUGAAGAGAAUAUACUUGGACAAUUUACUUGGAACAUGUACAAGUAAGCAGCUCUUUUUUUAAGCUAAAGCAUGUAUUGAAUUAGUACUUAAGAAUGAAUUUGAAAAACCAGAAUGCAAAAAACUUCAAGCUUGUGUAGAUCUCGGCUCUCCUGGUAUGCCUCAACCAGCAACACAUCUAAAGCCUCCUCAAGCUCCAAAAGAAGAUGAAGGUGGUGAGAGUAAUGCUCGUGAUAAUGUGCAGUAGAUUGUGGCAAUGCAUGGCACUGCAAUCCCUCUGUCUUCACGGUUGUGGGCAUUAAAUGCAUGAGUAUGUUACAUGCAUGGUGCCAUGAUGAAGAUGGUGGCUCCACACUCAAAAGUAAUGAAAGGAACAUCCGUACAUAUGUUAUGCUCCAUGGAGUAUGCAAGGAGCCUCUUAAUUUGGUUUUGAGUAAUGGUUAAAAGUUAAUUUUAAUAUUGAUGUUAGUAAUGGCUUU